UGAGGAAUAUUGGUCAAUGGGCGCAAGCCUGAACCAGCCAUCCCGCGUGCAGGAAGACGGCCCUAUGGGUUGUAAACUGCUUUUCCAGGGGGAGAAACUUGCGCACGUGUUGCGCAAUUGACGGUACCCUGGGAAUAAGCAUCGGCUAACUCCGUGCCAGCAGCCGCGGUAAUACGGAGGAUGCGAGCGUUAUCCGGAUCCAUUAGGUUUAAAGGGUGCGUAGGCGGACUAUUAAGUCAGUGGUGAAAUCCUGCAGCUUAACUGCAGAACGGCCAUUGAUACUGAUAGCCUUGAGUUUGGUUAAGGUAGGCGGAAUGUGUAAUGUAGCGGUGAAAUGCUUAGAUAUUACACAGAACACCAAUUGCGUAGGCAGCUUACUGGGCCGACACUGACGCUGAGGCACGAAAGCGUGGGGAUCGAACAG
rnacentral:rRNA from 1 species